AGGGUGUAAACGCUGCAGACUUGGUGUUGGAGGCCCUUUGGGGGCAUUCGGUGCCGGAGAGAAGUUGUUAAGUCUGCUACUUGGGGAGUACGUCCGCAAGGAUGAAACUUAAAGGAAUUGGCGGGGGAGCACCGCAACGGGAGGAGCGUGCGGUUUAAUUGGAUUCAACACCGUAAAACUCACCAGGGAAGACUGUUACAUGAAGGCCGAGAUGAAGACUCUGCUAGAUUUUUCAGAGAGGAGGUGCAUGGCGUCAGUGACU
rnacentral:rRNA from 1 species